rnacentral:rRNA from 1 species
GAUGAACGCUGGCGGCGUGCCUAAUACAUGCAAGUCGAGCGAACAGAUAAGGAGCUUGCUCCUUUGACGUUAGCGGCGGACGGGUGAGUAACACGUGGAUAACCUACCUAUAAGACUGGGAUAACUUCGGGAAACCGGAGCUAAUACCGGAUAACAUAUUGAACCGCAUGGUUCAAUAGUGAAAGGCGGCUUUGCUGUCACUUAUAGAUGGAUCCGCGCCGUAUUAGCUAGUUGGUAAGGUAACGGCUUACCGAGGCAACGAUACGUAGCCGACCUGAGAGGGUGAUCGGCCACACUGGAACUGAGACACGGUCCAGACUCCUACGGGAGGCAGCAGUAGGGAAUCUUCCGCAAAGGGCGAAAGCCUGACGGAGCAACGCCGCGUGAGUGAUGAAGGUCUUCGGAUCGUAAAACUCUGUUAUCGGGGAAGAACAAAUGUGUAAGUAACUGUGCACAUCUUGACUGUACCUGAUCAGAAAGCCACGGCUAACUACGUG